rnacentral:rRNA from 1 species
AACGAACGCUGGCGGCAGGCUUAACACAUGCAAGUCGAGCGCCCCGCAAGGGGAGCGGCAGACGGGUGAGUAACGCGUGGGAAUCUACCCAUCUCUACGGGAUAACGCAUGGAAACGUGUGCUAAUACCGUAUACGUCCUUCGGGAGAAAGAUUUAUCGGAAAUGGAUGAGCCCGCGUUGGAUUAGCUAGUUGGUGGGGUAAAGGCCUACCAAGGCGACGAUCCAUAGCUGGUCUGAGAGGAUGAUCAGCCACACUGGGACUGAGACACGGUCCAGACUCCUACGGGAGGCAGCAGUGGGGAAUAUUGGACAAUGGGCGCAAGCCUGAUCCAGCCAUGCCGCGUGAGUGAUGAAGGCCCUAGGGUUGUAAAGCUCUUUCACCGGUGAAGAUAAUGACGGUAACCGGAGAAGAAGCCCCGGCUAACUUCGUGCCAGCAGCCGCCGCGGUAA